UAGGGAAUCUUCGGCAAUGGACGGAAGUCUGACCGAGCAACGCCGCGUGAGUGAAGAAGGUUUUCGGAUCGUAAAGCUCUGUUGUAAGAGAAGAACGAGUGUGAGAGUGGAAAGUUCACACUGUGACGGUAUCUUACCAGAAAGGGACGGCUAACUACGUGCCAGCAGCCGCGGUAAUACGUAGGUCCCGAGCGUUGUCCGGAUUUAUUGGGCGUAAAGCGAGCGCAGGCGGUUAGAUAAGUCUGAAGUUAAAGGCUGUGGCUUAACCAUAGUACGCUUUGGAAACUGUUUAACUUGAGUGCAAGAGGGGAGAGUGGAAUUCCAUGUGUAGCGGUGAAAUGCGUAGAUAUAUGGAGGAACACCGGUGGCGAAAGCGGCUCUCUGGCUUGUAACUGACGCUGAGNCNCGAAAGCGUGGGGAGCAAACAGGAUUAGAUACCCUGGUAGUCCACGCCGUAAACGAUGAGUGCUAGGUGUUAGACCCUUUCCGGGGUUUAGUGCCGCAGCUAACGCAUUAAGCACUCCGCCUGGGGAGUACGACCGCAAGGUUG
rnacentral:rRNA from 1 species